CCUACGGGUGGCAGCAGUAGGGAAUCUUCCACAAUGGGCGAAAGCCUGAUGGAGCGACGCCGCGUGAGUGAAGAAGGUCUUCGGAUCGUAAAACCCUGUUGUUAGAGAAGAAAGUGCGGGAGAGUAACUGUUCACGUUUCGACGGUAUCUAACCAGAAAGUCACGGCUAACUACGUGCCAGCAGCCGCGGUAAUACGGAGGGGGCAAGCGUUAUCCGGAUUUAUUGGGCGUAAAGGGAACGUAGGCGGUGUUUGAAGUCUGAGGUGAAAGCCUUCGGCUUAACCGGGGUAGUGCCUUGGAAACUGGGAGACUGGAGUGCGGGAGAGGAGAGUGGAACUCCAUGUGUAGCGGUGAAAUGCGUAGAUAUAUGGAAGAACACCAGUGGCGAAGGCGGCUGUCUGGUCUGUAACUGACGCUGAGGUGCGAAAGCGUGGGUAGCAAACAGGAUUAGAUACCCGUGUAGUC
rnacentral:rRNA from 1 species